GGUAGUUCAAUUGGUAGAGCGGCGGUCUCCAAAACCGUUGGUUGAGGGUUCAAGUCCUUCCCG
rnacentral:tRNA from 1 species